rnacentral:rRNA from 1 species
CCUACGGGAGGCAGCAGUAGGGAAUAUUGCUCAAUGGGGGAAACCCUGAAGCAGCAACGCCGCGUGGAGGAUGAAGGUUUUCGGAUUGUAAACUCCUUUUGUUAGAGGAGAUAAUGACGGUAUCUAACGAAUCCCCACCGGCUCACUCCGUGCCAGCAGCCGCGGUCAUCCGGAGGGUGCAAGCGUUACUCGGAAUCACUGGGCGUAAAGGGCGCGUAGGCGGGAUAGCAAGUCAGAUGUGAAAUCCUAUGGCGUAACCAUAGAACUGCAUUUGAAACUGUUAUUCUAGAGUAUGGGAGAGGUAGGUGGAAUUCUUGGUGUAGGGGUAAAAUCCGUAGAGAUCAAGAGGAAUACUCAUUGCGAAGGCGACCUGCUAGAACAUAACUGACGCUGAUGCGCGAAAGCGUGGGGAGCAAACAGGAUUAGAUACCCCUGUAGUC